rnacentral:rRNA from 1 species
AACGCGAAGAACCUUACCUGGGCUUGAACCGCUACUGACCAAGGGUAGAAAUAUCCUCUUCCCGCAAGGGACCGCAGUAUAGGUGCUGCAUGGCUGUCGUCAGCUCGUGUCGUGAGAUGUUGGGUUAAGUCCCGCAACGAGCGCAACCCUUGUCCUGUGUUGCCAUACCGAAAGGUGGAACUCGCAGGAGACCGCCAGGGAUAACCUGGAGGAAGGUGGGGAUGACGUCAAGUCCUCAUGGCCUUUAUGUCCAGGGCUACACACGUGCUACAAUGGACGGUACAAAGGGCUGCCAACCCGCGAGGGGGAGCCAAUCCCAAAAAACCGUUCUCAGUUCGGAUUGCAGGCUGCAACUCGCCUGCAUGAAGCUGGAAUCGCUAGUAAUGGCGGAUCAGAACGCCGCCGUGAAUACGUUCCCGGCCUUGUACACACCGGCUAC